rnacentral:ncRNA from 2 species
UAAAUAAUCUAUCGUUAAGGUGCCCACAUCCCCCGCAUGGGAGGGCUUAAAGGCGAAGCCGGUAUAGAGUCCGGCGCUGUCCCGCAACUGUAACGUUAGUCUCUUGGUUAGACAGUCUGGUAGUCAGAUAGUCCUUUUAUAAGUGACUAUUCGACUUUUAGACUAAUUAACUAUUCGACUAGCGAAGCCAGGUCGACCGCCUUAGUGAAAUCAACACA